UAUUAAGUGUUGGUUGUUAGCCCAUUUUCCUUCUUUCGUAGGUAAAAAACAGGAAGCAGAUGAGUUGAGUGGAGAUGCUUCUGUGGAAGAUGAUGCUUUUGUCAAGGACUGUGAAUUGGAGAAUCAAGAGGCACAUGAACAAGAUGGAAAUGACGAACUAAAGGACUCUGAAGAGUUUGGUGAAAAUGAAGACGAAAACUUGCAUUCCAAGGAGUUACUUUCUGCAGAAGAAAACAAGAGAUCUCAUGAAUUAAUAGAGGCAGAAGCAAUAGAAGAUUUAGAAAAAGACGACAUCGAAAGUCAGGAAAUUGAAGCUCAAGAAGGUGAAGAUGAUACCUUUCUAACAGCCCAAGUAAGUUUACAUUUAGUCAUAUGAA